GACGAACGCUGGCGGCGUGCUUAACACAUGCAAGUCGAACGGAAAGGCCCUGCUUUUGUGGGGUGCUCGAGUGGCGAACGGGUGAGUAACACGUGAGUAACCUGCCCUUGACUUUGGGAUAACUUCAGGAAACUGGGGCUAAUACCGGAUAGGAGCUCCUGCUGCAUGGUGGGGGUCGGAAAGUUUCGGCGGUUGGGGAUGGACUCGCGGCUUAUCAGCUUGUUGGUGGGGUAGUGGCUUACCAAGGCUUUGACGGGUAGCCGGCCUGAGAGGGUGACCGGCCACAUUGGGACUGAGAUACGGCCCAGACUCCUACGGGAGGCAGCAGUGGGGAAUAUUGCACAAUGGGCCGAAGCCUGAUGCAGCAACGCCGCGUGCGGGAUGACGGCCUUCGGGUUGUAAACCGCUUUCGCCUGUGACGAAGCGUGAGUGACGGUAAUGGGUAAAGAAGCACCGGCUAACUACGUG
rnacentral:rRNA from 1 species